CGCUGAGACACCGGUUUACAUACGAUCACCGAAGUUAAGCAACAUUGCGCCUGGUUAAUACCUAGAUGGGUGAGUGUUUGGGAAUGCCAUGUUUUGU